CUACGGGAGGCAGCAGUGGGGAAUCUUGCGCAAUGCGCGAAAGCGUGACGCAGCAACGCCGCGUGGGGGAAGAAGGCUUUCGGGUUGUAAACCCCUUUCAGUUGGGACGAAGCCUCGGCGGUGAAUAGCCGUUCGGGGUGACGGUACCUUCACAAGAAGCACCGGCUAACUACGUGCCAGCAGCCGCGGUAAUACGUAGGGUGCAAGCGUUGUCCGGAAUUAUUGGGCGUAAAGAGCGUGUAGGCGGCCCGACCAGUCCGCUGUGAAAGUCCAGGGCUCAACCCUGGAAUGCCGGUGGAUACUGUCGGGCUAGAGUCCGGAAGGGGCGAGUGGAAUUCCUGGUGUAGCGGUGAAAUGCGCAGAUAUCAGGAGGAACACCAAUGGCGAAGGCAGCUCGCUGGGACGUGACUGACGCUGAGACGCGAAAGCGUGGGGAGCAAACAGGAUUAGAUACCCGGGUAGUCCC
rnacentral:rRNA from 1 species